UACGGGGGGGGCAAGCGUUGUUCGGAAUUACUGGGCGUAAAGGGUUCGUAGGUGGCCUGCUAAGUCAGACGUGAAAUCCCUCAGCUCAACUGGGGAACUGCGUCUGAUACUGGCGCGCUUGAGUGCAGGAGAGGAACGCGGAAUUCCAGGUGUAGCGGUGAAAUGCGUAGAUAUCUGGAGGAACACCGGUGGCGAAGGCGGCGUUCUGGACUGUUACUGACACUGAGGAACGAAAGCCAGGGGAGCAAACGGG
rnacentral:misc_RNA from 1 species